AUUGAACGCUGGCGGCAUGCCUUACACAUGCAAGUCGAACGGUAACAGGUCUUCGGAUGCUGACGAGUGGCGAACGGGUGAGUAAUACAUCGGAACGUGCCCGAUCGUGGGGGAUAACUACUCGAAAGAGUGGCUAAUACCGCAUGAGAUCUACGGAUGAAAGCAGGGGAUCGCAAGACCUUGUGCUACUAGAGCGGACGAUGGCAGAUUAGGUAGGUGGUGGGAUAAAAGCUUACCAAGCCGACGAUCUGUAGCUGGUCUGAGAGGACGAUCAGCCACACUGGGACUGAGACACGGCCCAGACUCCUACGGGAGGCAGCAGUGGGGAAUUUUGGACAAUGGGCGCAAGCCUGAUCCAGCAAUGCCGCGUGCAGGAUGAAGGCCUUCGGGUUGUAAACUGCUUUUGUACGGAACGAAAAGCCCUGGGUUAAUACCCUGGGGUCAUGACGGUACCGUAAGAAUAAGCACUGGCUAACUACGUGCCAGCCGCCGCUGUAACAC
rnacentral:rRNA from 1 species